rnacentral:rRNA from 1 species
GACGAACGCUGGCGGCGUGCUUAACACAUGCAAGUCGAACGGAAAGGCCCUGCUUGCAGGGUACUCGAGUGGCGAACGGGUGAGUAACACGUGGGUGAUCUGCCCUGCACUUCGGGAUAAGCCUGGUAAACUGGGUCUAAUACCGGAUAGGAGCCAUUUUUAGUGUGAUGGUUGGAAAGUUUUUUCGGUGUAGGAUGAGCUCGCGGCCUAUCAGCUUGUUGGUGGGGUAAUGGCCUACCAAGGCGGCGACGGGUAGCCGGCCUGAGAGGGUGGACGGCCAACUUGGGACUGAGAUACGGCCCAGACUCCUACGGGAGGCAGCAGUGGGGAAUAUUGCACCAUGGGCGCAAGCCUGAUGCAGCGACGCCGCGUGGGGGAUGACGGCCUUCGGGUUGUAAACUCCUUUCGCUAGGGACGAAGCUUUUUGUGACGGUACCUAGAUAAGAAGCACCGGCUAACUACGUG